GGGGAUGACUGGAAUUGACAGCUUGUGCAGAUUGCGUGUAAGCAUGUCGGGUGAUGAACGUACCACCUGUUAAAAAUCCGUUCGAACAAUAACUGGCGAAUAUAACUACGCCAUGGCUGCUUAAUCUAGGUAUUAAGCACUAGCCAUAGUCUCGUGCAGGUUUCGUGAAUCUGCUUGCACAUACGAGGCUUCGAUCCGAUUUACUAGUCUGUGUAAAGGUGCGGUGCACAGGCGAAAUAAAGCAUCUAAGGAGUGCGCAUAAGUUUGACUUAUACUUGCAAGCUCCCGACAAUCCGAAUAAGUCUAAGCAUGUAGAAAGCCCGUCGAUUUCCUUGUCUGGACCAGGGUUCGAAUCCCUGCAUCUCCACAA
rfam:Pontibacter sp. BAB1700 contig24, whole genome shotgun sequence.